AUACAGCGCUAAAGAUGCAAAUGAAGAAUAUGUUUAUCAGAUAGGAAUAUGCACAGAUGCUGUGGAUGUAGCAGAAGUCCCAGAAGCAAAGGACAAAAACAUAGCAGCCUACCAGUUCAUGAAUGUCAAUGGUAAACCAGAGUUUACGGGAGGUCAUACAGUGGGGAGGUACAACAAUGCAUCAUUAACCAAAGGGACUGGUUGGAUUCUUCUUGAGUUCAGAAAUGGAGAUGCGUAUCAUACUCAUUGCAACAAGGAGAAUCGACGUGCCAGAAUCAUGAUUAUUUGUGAUGAAGAUGUCAGUGUUGGGUCUGAGACUAUCAAUAUUUUUGAAGAAAACACCAAUAAGACGGGUGAUUGUUAUUACUUGUUUGAAAUGGCCUCCAGUGCAGUCUGCGGUAGCAAGCCAGUGGUGACGUUUGGACUAAGUUUAGGAUCUAUUUUAGUGAUUGUGUUUGUGUGUGUUGUUUUCCUCUACCUGGCUCUGGGUAUUGUCUACCAUCGAUUUAUGUUAGGAUCCAAAGGCAUGGAGCAGAUUCCAAACUACUCUUUUUGGCAAGACUUUGGUAAUCUCCAGUCUGAUGGCUGUAACUUUGUGUGCCGAUCUGGAGGGUCACCUCAGAAGUCUACUUUUAAGGGUCUGGGGGAUGACCAAUUACAGGAAGAAGAGGACCGAGAUGACCACUUGCUUCCCAUGUAAACUGACCUUUCAGCUGAUAGACACAUUUACCAAAGCAAGUCAUGACCCACACAGAGACAGGCGGCUAGAGAGAAUGUUGUUGUGAUUUGAAGAUAUUUCAACUGCUUUAUGCAAAGUAGACAAAACAACUGUUAAACACAUAUCUGCAUAGUGUACGUGAUGUGUAAUGGAGGAUUCUCGGGUGUAAGGUUUUACUGCCAUAAAAUCAACCGGGGCAGUUAAAAAUGGAAAUUUACUUUCUUUGGUGUUAUAGCUCCUUAACAUAUGAAAUAUAUCCAAGUUCAACUUAUAAUUUAAUUUUACUAUACUUAACCCUUAUGGAAAUCUACUUUUCUUUACAAUUUUUUUUUCCUAGAAAUUAUUACGCCUCUAUCAGCCAGUCAAAAACGAUGUUACAAAUGUCGGCAUUUUUUUAAAAUUAUUGGUUGAUAACAAAACAUUUUAAGCCAAUGAAAAUGCUUUUUACAAGAAAUAUUGAAUUAUACAAAUAGUAAAUGUAGCAGUUUUUGUGAGUUCUGAAAAUUAACAUGUUUUCACAAUGAUUUACUGUGUAAAGAAUUUCAUCAACCCACUAAAUUAUGGGAAAAUCAGGAAAUAACUAGAUAUCAUGCUCAAGCUUUAUAAGUCGUUAAAUUUGCUGUGUCCUGCCGCACGGACCCCUUAAAUAUGCCAAAACAAAUUAAUAUCACUAGAAUAGAUAAUGUACUACAAAUCUGUGUUGAAAAUAUGUGCAUAUCUACAGUGUAUAAGUCAGGAAAAAUAAACUCUGCUAUAAUAGAUCUGGUUUUAAUGAAAUAAAUGAUUGAGAACUCUUAGGUUUGUUUAUGGUUUUGAUCCAAAAAAGGAUUAUUUCUUUGAAUCAGCUUCUAUUUUUGAAGCGACAAUCCACUUUAAAAUUUGAAUUAUUGAAUGAAAUGUGAAUUUCCAUGUACAUGUAAACAGAUCAUAUAGAGAGACAGAAAAAAAUAUUAGCUGUAUUAGGCUGGAAUUACACUUAAGUGUAAUUUCAAGGUAUGACAGGUUUUAAAUUAUUUUCAUUGACUCAUAUUUUGCUAUGAAUCCUAUGAUAUUCUUCGUUUUCACUCGCUUUAAAGUCAUUUGAUAUAUAUGGUGAAAAGAUUUAUUAUUAAUUUUUUACAUGAAUUUUGUUUUGUGCUGCACAUUUAAAAUGCAUUUAUCAUAGGAAUUUGUAAAUUCAAAGUCAUAAAUUUUAGGUAAGUAAGCUAUAUAUUAUUUUUUUUAUUUUGCGUCCAUUUCCUGUGGUGGGAAGUAUCAGAGGUAACAGCUACUCUGAGUAAGGGCUGUACAGUACAAUAGGUAUAAAUUAGGGUUUACAAUGGCAUAUAUAAGUUCUUUAUUCUUUUUAAUCACUUUGCUAAUUUAAAUUGGUCUGCCUGUAAAAUUUUCUUCUAAAGUUUUUACUCAGUUUGCUUAAAUUUUGCCACUUCUGCAUCUUUAACGUUGUCAUUGAUAUGUAACAAUAGUCUUAGGGACUGUCAAUGAAGGAAAUCCCACAGUGUAUCACCCCGGUAUCACAAGUAUGCACGCUAUAGGUCUGGGUAAACAAAGAUAGUCUUUAUAAAGACUUCCCAGUAUCGCCCCGGUAUCACAAGUAUAUACGUUAUAGGUCUGGGUACACAAAGAUAGUCUUUAUAAAGACUCCCCAGUAUCGCCCGGUAUCACCAGUAUAUACGUUAUAGGUCUGUGUACACAAAGAUAGUCUUCAUAAAGACUCCCCAGUAUCGCCCGGUAUCACCAGUAUACACGUUAUAGGUCUGUGUACACAAAAAUAGUGUUUAUAAAGACUCCCCAGUAUCGCCCGGUAUCACCAGCAUAUACGUUAUAGGUCUGGGUACACAAAGAUAGUCUUUAUAAAGACUCCCCAGUAUCGCCCGGUAUCACAAGUAUAUACGUUAUAGGUCUGUGUACACAAAGAUAGUCUUUAUAAAGACUCCCCAGUAUCGCCCGGUAUCACAAGUAUAUACGUUAUAGGUCUGUGUACACAAAGAUAGUCUUCAUAAAGACUCCCCAGUAUCGCCCCGGUAUCACAAGUAUACACGUUAUAGGUCUGUGUACACAAAAAUAGUUUUUGUAAAAGCUUCCCAGGGAUUGCACUCGGUAUAAGUGGGAUCUCUUUCUAAAUAGUUUGGAUUGACGUCCUGAAAAGAUUUUCAUUUUCUGUGUUUCAAAAGGCUAUGGGGAUGGCUUUUUGAGACAAACUCCUCACCAGAAGCUGAGACAUAAUCACCAAGUCCUAAUUUAAAAUGAGCCUGGUCCAACAAUCUAGAUUGUUUGGGCUGUGUUUAAACAAAAACGGACUGUUUUUUUUUAACCUGAUAGAAAUCACAACAUUGUUAUGUUGCCUAUGUCAAAACUGAGUAUAAUUGAACAAUGCUAAAAUAUAUAAAAUUGUUGUGUGUAUAGUUUUCUGUUGAAAUUAUGAAUGAUAAAUUAUUUGUUGUUUGUUCAAGUUGAUUAAGAUUUUGUGAUAAUUGUAAAUAUUCAAAAU